rnacentral:tRNA from 1 species
GCCCUCGUAGUCCAACUGGCAGGAGACGUGGUCGUGAGGCGGCCAACAGUGCCCGUUCGAAUCGGGCCGGGGGCACCG